GGUGCGGUGCCCAAGUGGCUAAGGGGACGGUCUGCAAAACCGUUAUGCGCCGGUUCAAAUCCGGCCCGCACCU
rnacentral:tRNA from 1 species